GAUGAAGAACGUAGCGAAAUGCGAUAAGUAAUGUGAAUUGUAGAAUUCAGUGAAUCAUCGAAUCUUUGAACGCACAUUGCGCCCGCCAGUAUUCUGGCGGGCAUGCCUGUUCGAGCGUCAUUACAACCCUCAGGCCCCCGGGCCUGGCGUUGGGGAUCGGCGGAAGCCCCCUGCGGGCACAACGCCGUCCCCCAAAUACAGUGGCGGUCCCGCCGCAGCUUCCAUUGCGUAGUAGCUAACACCUCGCAACUGGAGAGCGGCGCGGCCACGCCGUAAAACACCCAACUUCUGAAUGUUGACCUCGAAUCAGGUAGGAAUACCCGCUGAACUUAAGCAUAUCAAUAAGCGGAGGA
rnacentral:misc_RNA from 1 species